rnacentral:rRNA from 1 species
CUCCAGACUCCUACGGGAGGCAGCAGUGGGGGAUAUUGCACAAUGGGGGGAACCCUGAUGCAGCGACGCCGCGUGGGUGAAGGAGUGCUUCGGCAUGUAAAGCCCUCUCGGCAGGGAAGAAGCAAGACGGUACCUGACUAAGAAGCCCCGGCUAACUACGUGCCAGCAGCCGCGGUAAUACGUAGGUGGCAAGCGUUGUCCGGAUUUACUGGGUGUAAAGGGCGUGCAGCCGGGCUGACAAGUCAGAUGUGAAAUCCCGCGGCUCAACCGCGGAACUGCAUUUGAAACUGUCAGUCUUGAGUACCGGAGAGAUCAUCGGAAUUCCUUGUGUAGCGGUGAAAUGCGUAGAUAUAAGGAAGAACACCAGUGGCGAAGGCGGAUGACUGGACGGCAACUGACGGUGAGGCGCGAAAGCGUGGGGAGCAGACAGGAUUAGAUACCCCGGUA